rnacentral:rRNA from 1 species
GACGAACGCUGGCGGCGUGCUUAACACAUGCAAGUCGAGCGGUAAGGCCCUUUCGGGGGUACACGAGCGGCGAACGGGUGAGUAACACGUGGGUGACCUGCCCUCAGCUCUGGGAUAAGCCUGGGAAACCGGGUCUAAUACCGGAUAUGACUCCAUGACGCAUGUUGUGGGGUGGAAAGCCUUGUGCGGCUGAGGAUGGGCCCGCGGCCUAUCAGCUUGUUGGUGGGGUGAUGGCCUACCAAGGCGACGACGGGUAGCCGGCCUGAGAGGGCGACCGGCCACACUGGGACUGAGACACGGCCCAGACUCCUACGGGAGGCAGCAGUGGGGAAUCUUGCGCAAUGGGCGAAAGCCUGACGCAGCGACGCCGCGUGAGGGAUGACGGCCUGGUGUAACU